GUGCUCGAGUCAGCAGCACAUAAACUAAUAUUGGAAUGACACAGAGAAGGUUAGCAUGGCCUCUGACCAAGGAUGACAAGCACAUUCAUGAAGCGUUCUACAUUAAA
ensembl:snRNA U6 U6 spliceosomal RNA